CCUCUUGGUGAUGAAGAUAUAAUCUCAUAUUUGCUUGCAGGACUUGCCACCGACUACGAUGCCUUUGUGACCUCGAUCACCACUCGAAGUGAUCGCCUUUCCCUGGAUGAGGUUUAUUCUCAUCUCAUGGUGUUUGAGG
rfam:Zea mays cultivar B73 chromosome 4, whole genome shotgun sequence.